rnacentral:rRNA from 1 species
GAUGAACGCUAGCUGGAGGCUUAAUACAUGCAAGUCGAGCGGGAUUUGGGCAGCAAUGUCUGAUGAGAGCGGCGAACGGGUGAGUAACGCGUACACGACCUACCUUUGACUGGGGGAUAGCCCUGGGAAACUGGGAUUAAUACCGCAUAUUAUUCUGAUUAAUAAAGGAUUGGAAUGAAAGUUCAGGCGGUCAGAGAUGGGUGUGCGUCUGAUUAGCUAGUUGGUAGGGUAACGGCCUACCAAGGCGAUGAUCAGUAGGGGGCGUGAGAGCGUGAUCCCCCACACGGGUACUGAGACACGGACCCGACUCCUACGGGAGGCAGCAGUAAGGAAUAUUGGACAAUGGCCGCAAGGCUGAUCCAGCCAUCCAGCGUGCAGGAAGAAGGCCCUAUGGGUUGUAAACUGCUUUUAUCAGGGAAGAAACCUCUGGAUUUACUCCGGAGCUGACGGUAC